UGUUGCCAUGUUUAUUGAUUAAGGGCACAAAUUCUUUUAUACAUUAAACAAAUGAAAUUGUUAUACUGACUGCUAGAAAUAAGAACACUUUUUAUAAGAUAUGGUAGUAUUGCCACCAAUCAAAAAGUGUCAUAAACUAAAAAGAAACCCACUAUAGGUCAGGGUAUAGCCUUCAACAAUGAGAACAACUCAUCUCGUUUAAU
rnacentral:lncRNA from 1 species